UACGUAGGGUGCAAGCGUUGUCCGGAAUUAUUGGGCGUAAAGAGCUCGUAGGCGGUCUGUCGCGUCUGCUGUGAAAACUCGGGGCUUAACCCCGGGCCUGCAGUGGGUACGGGCAGACUAGAGUGCGGUAGGGGAGACUGGAAUUCCUGGUGUAGCGGUGAAAUGCGCAGAUAUCAGGAGGAACACCGGUGGCGAAGGCAGGUCUCUGGGCUGACACUGACGCUGAGGAGCGAAAGCGUGGGGAGCAAACAGG
rnacentral:rRNA from 1 species